rnacentral:lncRNA from 1 species
AUUUUGUCAGGGAUUUAUAAUUAUUUGCUUCGCUGCAUACAUUUAGCUAUUAUGCACUCGUAAUUUGUUUAUGUAUCUAGCACCUUUAUGCCUUAAUUAGCAUUUGGGAUGUCACAAAUAGUAUCAGAGCAAUUACACAGAACAAUGUCUUACAACUAAGGUUGUAGCUAGGAAAAACCUUUCUAAAAUACUUAGGAAAUAUGUCAUCUUUCAAAAACUAGACCACCAAAUUGUGUCUUCCUUUUAUUUUGUAGGAAUGACGUGAAAAAAGACCUUCUGUAGAGUAUAUCGAAAGACAUGAGGCCCAGGAUCAUCCGACUAGGACUGAGUUUACCGAACUCUUUCGAGCCAUCAAGGGUCUAACCACAGCUGUAGGACAAAACUAAUUCAACUCUUACCAAUAUCUCCUGCCCCAGAUUACCAACCAGCCGAAAGGUCUAUCUCCUAUAACAUAGCAGAAUUUAGGAAACUUAACACACCCCACUUU